rnacentral:lncRNA from 1 species
GCUUCUAAUUCUUCAGCAUGAUCGAUAUAACAAAUACUAAUGAUAUCUAGCAGACUUAUAAAUGUGUUUACUGUUGCCUACAAUUAGCACCUAAAUGUUGUAAGGAAUUGUACAGAAUUUACUUCUGUGUUGUUGUUAUUCAUGGUGACUGUGGACGGUUUAAAUCAUAUCCUCCUUUAAUAUGAAGAGCACUCAGAUUCAUGAUACAUCCAUCACAUUUCGAAAUGAAAUAUUCCAGAUACUAGUAAAAGGAAAAUGCAAUUGUGAAUUG